ACGAGAAUAUUCCGCAAUGGACGAAAGUCUGACGGAGCGACGCCGCGUGGAUGACGAAGGCUGAAAGGUUGUAAAAUCCUUUUGCUGGGGAAGAAUAAGCAUGGGAGGGAAUGCCCGUGUGAUGACAUGAACCGGCGAAUAAGCCCCGGCUAACUACGUGCCAGCAGCCGCGGUAAU
rnacentral:rRNA from 1 species